UGAGGAAUAUUGGUCAAUGGGCGAGAGCCUGAACCAGCCAAGUCGCGUGAGGGAGUACUGCCCUAUGGUUGUAAACCUCUUUUGUCGGGGAGCAAAAGCCGGACGUGUCCGUCUGUGAGAGUACCCGAAGAAAAAGCAUCGGCUAACUCCGUGCC
rnacentral:rRNA from 1 species